rnacentral:rRNA from 1 species
GACGUAGGGCGCGAGCGUUGUCCGGAUUUAUUGGGCGUAAAGAGCUCGUAGGCGGCUUGUCGCGUCGACUGUGAAAUCCCGCGGCUCAACCGCGGGUCUGCAGUCGAUACGGGCAGGCUAGAGUUCGGUAGGGGAGACUGGAAUUCCUGGUGUAGCGGUGAAAUGCGCAGAUAUCAGGAGGAACACCGAUGGCGAAGGCAGGUCUCUGGGCCGAUACUGACGCUGAGGAGCGAAAAGCGUGGGGAGCGAACAGG